rnacentral:rRNA from 1 species
AGUGAACGCUGGCGGUAGGCCUAACACAUGCAAGUCGAACGGCAGCACAGUAAGAGCUUGCUCUUACGGGUGGCGAGUGGCGGACGGGUGAGGAAUACAUCGGAAUCUACUUUUUCGUGGGGGAUAACGUAGGGAAACUUACGCUAAUACCGCAUACGACCUACGGGUGAAAGCAGGGGAUCUUCGGACCUUGCGCGAUUGAAUGAGCCGAUGUCGGAUUAGCUAGUUGGCGGGGUAAAGGCCCACCAAGGCGACGAUCCGUAGCUGGUCUGAGAGGAUGAUCAGCCACAAUGGAACUGGGAAACGGUCCAGACUCCUACGGGAGGCAGCCGUGGGGAAUAUUGGACAAUGGGCGCAAGCCUGAUCCAGCCAUACCGCGUGGGUGAAGAAGGCCUUCGGGUUGUAAAGCCCUUUUGUUGGGAAAGAAAAGCAGCAGGUUAAUACCCCGCUGUUCUGACGGUACCCAAAGAAUAAGCACCGGCUAACUUCGUG